GCUUAUACUCGACCGUCAGCGGCAAGUGCGAUCGCCCGCGAGGGCGGUCACGAAGCCCUGACGAGUAGGAGGGUCGCGGCGGUGAGCGCAGAAGGGCUGGCCGCGAGGCCGUCUGGAGCCGCCGUCGGUGCAGAUCUUGGUGGUAGUAGCAAAUACUCCAGCGAGGCCCUGGAGGACUGACGUGGAGAAGGGUUUCGUGUGAACAGCCGUUGCACACGAGUCAGUCGAUCCUAAGCCCUAGGCGAAAGCCGAUGUCGAUGCGGUGUAGUUUUUACCAUAAAUAUAUAUAUAUAGAGCGAGAACACACCCGUCGGGCGAAAGGGAAUCCGGUUCCUAUUCCGGAACCUGGCAGCGGAACCGUCAAUAAGUCGGGC
rnacentral:rRNA from 1 species